CAGCAGCCCGGUAAAACGUAGGUGGCAAGCGUUGUCCGGAAUUAUUGGGCGUAAAGGGCUCGCAGGCGGUUUCUUAAGUCUGAUGUGAAAGCCCCCGGCUCAACCGGGGAGGGUCAUUGGAAACUGGGAAGCUUGAGUGCAGAAGAGGAGAGUGGAAUUCCACGUGUAGCGGUGAAAUGCGUAGAGAUGUGGAGGAACACCAGUGGCGAAGGCGACUCUCUGGUCUGUAACUGACGCUGAGGAGCGAAAGCGUGGGGAGCGAACAGGAUUAGAUACCCCUGUAGUCCCUGUCUCUUAUACA
rnacentral:rRNA from 1 species